rnacentral:miRNA from 1 species
AUUCGUUGUAUUAAGAGAGGGUU